rnacentral:rRNA from 1 species
GUCGAGAAUCUUCCGCAAUGGGCGCAAGCCUGACGGAGCGACGCCGCGUGCAGGAUGAAGGCCCUCGGGUUGUAAACUGCUGUCACAUGUUAAGAAUGGUCCCGCGUUAACAGCGUUGGACUUGACUAAGGCAUGAGAGGAAGCCACGGCUAACUUCGUGCCAGCAGCCGCGGUAAGACGAAGGUGGCAAGCGUUGCUCGGAAUUACUGGGCAUAAAGCGCGCGUAGGUGGCUUUGCAAGUCUGUGGUGAAAUCCCAUGGCUCAACCGUGGAACGGCCGCUGAUACUGCAGAGCUUGAGGACGGUAGGGGAGAGUGGAACUCCUGGUGUAGCGGUGAAAUGCGUAGAUAUCAGGAGGAACGCCGGUGGCGAAAGCGACUCUCUGGGCCGUUCCUGACACUGAGGUGCGAGAGCUAGGGGAGCAAACAGGAUUAGAUACCCUAGUAGUCC